AGGAUUACUGACUAUCUGAAGGAUGAGUUCAGUGAGAUGAAGCCAGGUGCCUAUCCAGCCACUAAGCCUAGGAUUCCUCGUCAAUUUGCAAACCCAUAUGAAGAGAUGAAGCUAAGCAGCUUUAGAUAUUGGAUAGAGGGUGACACCUGUGGCAAUCUUUGUCCAAUGGUACGGAAUAAAACUAUGACAUGGUGAAAGUCAAUAACCUCUAGCCUGUGAGCAUCCUGUCUCUUCUCUGUAUAUUUCCGUUUGGAUGGUUUCAACAGUUUGCUUCAUUUU